AAUAAUUGCAUUUUUUUAAUCAAUUUUCCACCACUAGUCACAACUAUUAACCAGCCAAGCCAACUCAAUCAGUAUAACCACAAAUAAUUUCUUGAAAUUAUUUUGAUUAUUUCACUUGACACCAAACAUUACGGUACGGAUCCAAGAAAAAGGCCGUACAAUAUGAUAAUACAAACAUAAUUUGAUACUAUUUUCCCGUAAUAACUACAAUUCUAGUGAACACGGAUCCAAGAAAAAGGCUGUACAAUAUGAUAAUACAAACAUAAGUUGAUACUAUUUUCCCGUAAUAACUACAAUUCUAGUUUUAUCCGUUCACACCCAAGACGACACACCACUUAUAAAUAAAAACGAGAAUUCUGAGAGCAUUUGAUGCUUAUUUGCACUUGUGGUAGCAGUAGCAAUAACGUCUAAAGAUGCUCUUCUUAAUACACAUACCCCUCUUUGCUCCCUCUUUCUCUUUGCAUUCUUCGUCGCAGUGCUCACUAAUAAAGCAAUAGCCAGAAAACGUCUUGCUCUUCCUUCGGCAAAGUUUGCCCUCGGCCGCUUG
rnacentral:lncRNA from 1 species